rnacentral:rRNA from 1 species
GACGAACGCUGGCGGCGUGCUUAACACAUGCAAGUCGAACGGAAAGGCCCUGCUUUUGUGGGGUGCUCGAGUGGCGAACGGGUGAGUAACACGUGAGUAACCUGCCCUUGACUUUGGGAUAACUUCAAGAAACUGGGGCUAAUACCGGAUAGGAGCUCCUGCUGCAUGGUGGGGGUUGGAAAGUUUCGGCGGUUGGGGAUGGACUCGCGGCUUAUCAGCUUGUUGGUGGGGUAGUGGCUUACCAAGGCUUUGACGGGUAGCCGGCCUGAGAGGGUGACCGGCCACAUUGGGACUGAGAUACGGCCCAGACUCCUACGGGAGGCAGCAGUGGGGAAUAUUGCACAAUGGGCGGAAGCCUGAUGCAGCAACGCCGCGUGCGGGAUGACGGCCUUCGGGUUGUAAACCGCUUUCGCCUGUGACGAAGCGUGAGUGACGGUAAUGGGUAAAGAAGCACCGGCUAACUACGUG